UAAAGAAGAAGAAGAAGAAGAAGUAUACCUUAAUCUUAAUCUCGAGGUAUUCUAAGAAAGAACAGAAAAGCAUAUAGAGCGAGGUGAUAUUAAAACGCAAAGUUCUUUUUCUUGAACUGCUGUUCUUUAAAGUUUAAACGCUCCACACAAAUACAAUAUUCUUUCUCUGCUCUCAUCAUCGAUCAUAUCAUAUCUCAUGCAAGCAGCUUGUAGCAGAGAAAUGCAACUCUCUAUUCAACAACAACAACAAUACUAGUAGUAAUCAGCCGCAGCUUCCGUUCAAGCUCUCUACCACGGCUUCUCUGGAUCUCUCCAACCCUCUAACCAAACUCACCAUUUUCAACAACAGCCUCAGCCUCAUGUAGUUCUUUUCUGUUAAUUACAACAACAAUAAUAAUUGUGAUUUUGAUUUUUUGAAAUUCAAGGAACGGAGUUUUGGAGCUUCGGCUCAGGCUAACGGUGGCGGUUCGGGUCAGCCGAAGCAGAGGGUUAGAGCCGGGAGGGGACAAGCUACGGACCCACACAGCAUCGCCGAAAGGUUACGGAGGGAGAGAAUCGCAGAGCGAAUGAAGGCCCUGCAAGAACUUGUUACGAAUGCCAACAAGACUGACAAGGCCUCCAUGCUGGAUGAGAUCAUUGAUUAUGUGAGGUUCCUACAGCUCCAAGUCAAGUACAUUGUACCCAGAUCUCUCUAGCUAGUCCUCCACCAAUUCAACAUGCAUUUCUCAAAAAGGGUUUGUUUUCUUCCAUAGAGGGCAUGUCUGCCAUAUUGGUACAGCAAUCAAACAUGUCAAAGACUCGAUGCUUGGAUCCCAAUUGAAGGCCAAAGUGAAUUAAGUGGUGCACAAUAGACGAAUGAAGCAAUUUGUCAAUGGGGGUGUAAGGGAUUUUUUUUUUAGUGCAGUGAGUUAUUAAUUAUGUAAGCAAGUUGACGCCAUGGAUAAUUCUAUAAGUUGACUUAACGGGGACUUCCAGAGAUGAAUUAGUGGAUAUGAUAAUGGUAGUCGAUGAUUUUAAACGGAAAACAAAUAAUAAAGCCAAAAGUAAUGUAAGUUGCAUUUUAUUGCUGACAUAAAAGAUUGUUCAAUGUCUAUUCAUACUCCA